AAAUGAAUUGACGGGGACCCGCACAAGCAGCGGAGCAUGUGGUUUAAUUCGAAGCAACGCGAAGAACCUUACCAGGGCUUGACAUCCCCCUGACGCCUUUUUAACCGAAGGGUCUUUCGGGCAGGGGAGACAGGUGGUGCAUGGUUGUCGUCAGCUCGUGUCGUGAGAUGUUGGGUUAAGUCCCGCAACGAGCGCAACCCUUGUCAAUAGUUGCCAUCAUUAAGUUGGGCACUCUAUUGAGACUGCCGGGGAUAACUCGGAGGAAGGUGGGGAUGACGUCAAAUCAUCAUGCCCCUUAUGUCCUGGGCUACACACGUGCUACAAUGGCCGGUACAACGAGAAGCAAGGUCGCGAGGCGGAGCAAAUCUCAAAAACCGGUCCCAGUUCGGAUUGCAGGCUGAAACCCGCCUGCAUGAAGUCGGAGUUGCUAGUAAUCGCGGAUCAGAAUGCCGCGGUGAAUGCGUUCCCGGGUCUUGUACACACCGCCCGU
rnacentral:rRNA from 1 species